rnacentral:rRNA from 1 species
GACAGAGGGUGCAAACGUUGUUCGGAAUUACUGGGCGUAAAGCGAGUGUAGGCGGUGUGGUAAGUCGGAUGUGAAAGCCCCGGGCUCAACCCGGGAAGUGCACUCGAUACUGCCACGCUAGAGUAUCGGAGAGGUUGGUGGAAUUCUCGGUGUAGAGGUGAAAUUCGUAGAUAUCGAGAGGAACACCGGUGGCGAAGGCGGCCAACUGGACGAAUACUGACGCUGAGAACUCGAAAGCGUGGGGAGCAAACAGG